rnacentral:snRNA from 1 species
AUCGCUUCUCGGCCUUUUGGCUAAAAUCAAGUGUAGUAUUUGUAAAUUCAGGAAAACAAUUUUUUCUUUUAAAUAGGGAUUGAAUUAAAAUGAUGAGUCUUGGAUUUGGCUACUGCUUUGUAUUUUGAUAUAUGUAAAUACUAUGGUUCUAUUACACUCUAGAUCAGGGGUGUCAAACUC